UACGUAGGGUGCGAGCGUUAAUCGGAAUUACUGGGCGUAAAGCGUGCGCAGGCGGUUCGUUAAGUUCGAUGUGAAAGCCCCGGGCUCAACCUGGGAACUGCAUUGGAAACUGGCGGGCUUGAGUGUGGCAGAGGGGGGUGGAAUUCCACGUGUAGCAGUGAAAUGCGUAGAGAUGUGGAGGAACACCGGAUGGCGAAGGCAGCCCCCUGGGCUAACACUGACGCUCAGGCACGAAAGCGUGGGGAGCAAACAGG
rnacentral:rRNA from 1 species